AGAUUGAACGCUGGCGGCAUGCCUUACACAUGCAAGUCGAGCGGUAGAGUAGCAAUACUUGAGAGUGGCGAACGGGUGAGUAAUAUAUCGGAACGUGCCCAGUCGUGGGGGAUAACGUAGAGAAAUUUACGCUAAUACCGCAUACGAUCUAAGGAUGAAAGCGGGGGACCGUAAGGCCUCGCGCGAUUGGAGCGGCUGAUAUCAGAUUAGGUUGUUGGUGAGGUAAAAGCUCACCAAGCCGACGAUCUGUAGCUGGUUUGAGAGAACGACCAGCCACACUGGGACUGAGACACGGCCAGACUCCUACGGGAGGCAGCAGUGGGGAAUUUGGACAAUGGGACGAAAGCCUGAUCC
rnacentral:rRNA from 1 species